rnacentral:rRNA from 1 species
UACGAAGGGGGCGAGCGUUGUUCGGAUUUACUGGGCGUAAAGGGCGCGUAGGCGCUUGUCAGUCAGGCGUGAAAUCUCCCGCUCAACUGGGAGGGUGCGCCGAAUCUGAGAGGCUAGAGUGUGGGAGAGGAAAGUGGAAUUCCUGGUGUAGCGGUGAAAUGCGCAGAAUAUCAGGAGGAACACCGGUGGCGAAGGCGGGUCUCUGGGCCGAAACUGACGCUGAGGAGCGAAAGCGUGGGGAGCGAACAGG